AAUUCUUAUCCUAAAAAUGAUAUUGUGGGGUACAGAUUUACUAAGGCAGGUGCUAAUAGUAUAUAUAUUUUAUUUCUCAAAUAUAGAUUGUAACCACGGAGAAGAAUGAAAUUAGUAUUUCAUGAAAUACUGAAUACUUUUCAACAGGAUGAAAAAUUAGUAUCUCUAAUAUCUUUGCAAUAUCAAAUGAAAUUUCAUAAUUUAUGUAUACCUACAUUCUCAGAAAUUUUUCCUAAAUCGUACCUCAUUCUUUCCAAACAUGCAAAAUAUUCAGAAUUCCAUUGCGGGGGUGGAGAUAUACCUUAUUUUUUAAAUUACUUCUGAUGACUGGAAAGAAAAAUAAGUGGUUUUCCAGUAUGACAGGGACUAUUCUAAGGAGAAUGUGAUCAGUGACAAAUGACUGCUCCCCCCAGCAGCCAGGACCCUAUGCUCCUUUCCAGAAUACUUACUGCUCUUCUAAUAAUGUGUUUAAUAAUAUGACUCUUCUCUUAAUGCAUUUUCCCUGCCAGAUUGUGAGCUCCUUGAGAACAGAAACUGCCUUACUUGUUCACCAGUCUUCUGCGCCAAGGGCAGUGAUGAGCUGAUGGUCGAUGUUGGAUGAGUGGGUGGAUGGCUAGAUGGGUGAUGCCUUCCUGUGGGGUGAAAGGUAGACCUGAGAAUAACACACCUAAGGGCCUGCUGAGCAUCCCGGGAUUUGCUGUGAGCUGCCCAAGGCACUAGCGCUGCCAUUGUGAAUGUGGGCUCACCAGUGUCCAUACAUGAUUUGAAGCCCCAGUCUGUGGUCUGAAAUGAACACCGUUAGUGCUUCCCGAACCUUGCCCCAGAACUCGUCCCAACAUCAAUGGGAAUAAACCUGUAGCCCCUGGGACCUGGGGCCUUCAAAGUCUCAUUCUAACUUAGUCAUUUUAUGAAAAAUUGGUAUUUUUCCUAAGAUAUCCAUUUUUCACCUUCAUAUAAAAUACUUUUCCCAUCCUUCAGGUUGUGCAUUGUUAACCAGCCUGUGGCUUGUAGUAUCCCUGGCAAACCUCUGCAUGACCCAGGGAGUGCAUGUGCCCCGCUUGAGAACCACACCGCAUGAAGAUGUUGUCCGUAAAAUAGUACUGCCAACAUGAAAAUAUUGUAGUCGGGAGAGGUAACAUUAACCCCCAUCAAUAUGGAUUCUCUUUAUUUUAUUCCCUUUUUCACCCAGCAAAAAAUAGCCCCCUGACUGAGAAUGGGACAGAAGAUGGGAGGGUUUGAUAAUGGGAAGAGGAAAACCAUCCAGAGCUGCCUGGAAGUGAAGGUUUGGUCAGGUCAGCCUGCUGGUACAAGAUGGCAGCAAAUGGGAGUAGACGGGGUGGAGAUGUUGGUCAAGGAGGAAGAAGCCAGAACUGGGAUGAAAGAAACCCUUUGCCAGGGCUCUUCAAGGCAAUGGGAUGACCAGAGAGAUGACUUUGGGUAUGAGCAAGGACUCCACCAUUCAUUUCUUCUGCAAACGUUUGUUGAGUACUUAUUAUGGGUUAGACCCUGUGCUUAGCACUAGAAAGCCAAAGAGACAAUUAGUAUCCCCAGUCCAGUGAGGAUGGAGACCCAUAAGAGAUAGUUGCAAUAAGCUCUCCGUUGGGAGGAAAGACGGGUGGCAGCAAAGGAGUGCCAGAUGGCCCGGAAUGGGGAGUGCAUGGGAGACUUCCUAGAGGAGGUGUUCCUAAAGGACAAGCAAGGUGGAUUAUGUAAUGCUUAAUGGUAAGCUCAGUGUUUUUUGCCUUUGGAUGUGUGUCCUUCUGAUCCCCAACCCCAUUAGGGUCCAGCUCAUGCUUUAAAUAUAGAAGGUGCUCAGCAAAUGCAUCUAAAUUAAGAGAAACCAAAACGAAGCAAAGAAAAAUCUAAAUCUCUUCUUCUCCCUCCUCUCCACAAACACAGACAUUAAAAGGUACGUAGGUGCAUCAUUUAUUCUGAUUAGUGCACUGCUACCUGGAGGGAUGGGAGAUAAUACCAUAAAGGGACAGAGAGUAAGGUUUCAGGCAGGGUUUUGGGAUGUGGUUUGGACUAUAUUUAUAGAGUACGAGAAUAAGAGAAUUGCCUGGAAAGGGGCUUAUAAUAACGCCUCACUUCCUCUCUUAAUAAGGAUUAGUAGGGGGUUUUCUCCCACUGAUGACCCCAUUUCAUUCUUUCCUCUCCCAUUUGUGAGGCUAGUUUGCUUGAAUCAUCCAGCAAUAUGUAAACUCAUGAAAGAAGGUAUAUACUAGCUGUUGCAAGGUAUUCUGUUUGUUUUGUUUUGGAAUUCUUUUCCCUUUGGUUAAUUUUCAAGUGCUUGCUAUGUAAUAAUCAAUGAGCAGCUAAUUGGCAGUAAGAAUGAAAUGGGUGUUAUUCAGAUAGUGUUUUUAACAGAAGACGUACGUGUAACACUGUGGGGAAAUAUUAGUAAACAGCAAGAGAUUUUAGUGUGUGUGUGUGUGUGUACAAAAGGAUUCAUUUAAAGCCCCUCAGAAACUAAAUCCAGGUGUGUGAAUCCUUUCAUUUUCAGACUCCUCCCAAGGGGUGAGCGGAGCCCCUAGAGAUUGCCCUGGAACACAAACCACCCUAAAUGGAGCCUGAAGGUCUGUCAGUUCCCAGAGAGCAAUGAGGAAAUGGGAAUAGAACUGAUCUCCGUAGUAGAUGGCCGUUUAUGGAAUGACCUUGAUAGGACAUGGUUGGCUGUGAAAGGUAGAACCGCCGCUAUCCCUGUUUAUGCAAUCUGCCAGCCAGGCAAAGCUGAAAGGGAAGAUCUUUUAAAUGAAAAGAAUACAUAAUUUUUCUCCUGCCAGGAAGGUGUGAGCAUCAAGGCAACAAGCUGAGCCAGUGAAGACAAGUCUGCUUGUAAUACCUAAGCUUUCAGGUGGCCUGAGAGGUAAGGUGGUCACUCUGUUCCCAGAACAGAACGCAGAGCAGAGCAGGCAAAAGCCCUCAGGAGGUACGUGGUUGGGCCUUUGGUUUUUUCUUUUUUUUUUUUUUUUUUGCG